rnacentral:lncRNA from 1 species
UUUCAUUUCUAUUGAUGAUAAUAUAAAAGAACACCAUGUCUCUCAAGUAUCAUGACAUUUCAAUUACUAUUAUACAAGACAAAAUAAUUAAGGAAAUUGGACUUUAUUUUGAUCGAACCAAGUGUAGAUCAAGGUUCAAUACACCAUCACACGAGCAAUAAUAUCUUCUUUUGACCCACAAUAAUUUUACCAAGAGCUGGACAAGUUAUUGAUAUUCUUAAUAUAUAGCAUAGUUGAGACAAAACAUGUUAUGGCAGGUAUACAAUUACUUGUCAUGCUCCUGAUCCAAACGCAACAUAAAUAACACAAUCACAAAUCUCACUCAUCCUGUAACCGUGAUAAAUGUUUUGCGAAUUGGUAUAAUGUAUCUAGACGUUUUUCAGGGAGACUAUGAAAUUAAUUGGAAGAAAGGAUGUAUGCCUAAAGAAAGAAAGCUAAUGACAAUUGGUUCAUUGAACCAGGACUAUUUCCAGAGAGGUGGGACUAUGAAAUACUAAAAAGAUAGGAUGUACACGUUAAUAAAGCAAUUUUCAUGUGGGAGCAUUGUAUCUAGACACCGUUUUGAAAACCCGGUCCGGAUCGACCGAAUCGAUUUUAUGUACGAUUCAGUUUAAUUCGAUUGAAUCAAAACCUAAUUGUUCAACC